CAAAUCCAUCGAAAAAGGUAGAAAAAGAAUGAAGAAGAAUGAAGUUCCCACUUGUCUCAAUAUCUGUCACAUAAAAAUGUCAAUAAACGUCGAAAUUCUAUUAUACAAUUUUAAAUAACAAAAUUUACAAAAAUGUUUAUUAUAUCCGAAUCGUCGACGUGUUCUUUAAUUUUUUUUAAUAAAGGAACCUAAACGAUCUAACAAACAUGUGCGACUGUGCUGAAGAACAAGAGAGCCAAGAAAGCGACCUUCGACAACGCCAAAGAAUACCAGUAGUUGACUCAUCACAGUCGAGUUGGUGGGUUUUACAGUGGUGGAGUAGUUCCGGUUCAGGACACGGCGAUGAUUCCACGGUCAAGGUGUGGUUUCCUAUUCUCGGCAGUACAGCAGCACUCAUGGGCUUGAUGGCUUUACUGUAUAAGCAUUUUAAUAAAUUAAAAGCUUUGGUGUGGAAAACUAAACCAAUUUGCGAUACUAAGGUUAAACGCAAAUCUUCGCCAGAAAAAAUCAAAAUAUGUGUUUGUAAGGAUUAAUUUAGACUUAUCUUGUUGUCAGCAAUUUGUUGUCAGGAAUUGCAAAAAAUAUCGACGACUUAUAUUAAAAUAAAUAAUGCUAUGAAUCUAAACCCUAAUAAAUA